rnacentral:lncRNA from 1 species
GUUUUCUCGCUUACCAAGCGUUUUCCCGCAGCAAGCGCGGUGUUUUUGGUACCGAGAAAGAGUACUUUACUCAUAUGAGAAACAAAGAA